AGUGAACGCUGGCGGCAGGCCUAAUACAUGCAAGUCGAACGGCAGCAUAGCAGAGCUUGCUCUGUGGGUGGCGAGUGGCGGACGGGUGAGGAAUACGUGGGAAUCUGCCCAGUCGUGGGGGAUAACGUAGGGAAACUUACGCUAAUACCGCAUGCGCCCUUCGGGGGAAAGCCGGGGACCUUCGGGCCUGGCGCGAUUGGAUGAGCCCACGUCGGAUUAGCUAGUUGGCGGGGUAAAGGCCCACCAAGGCGACGAUCCGUAGCUGGUCUGAGAGGAUGAUCAGCCACACUGGGACUGAGACACGGCCCAAACUCCUACGGGAGGCUGCAGUAGGGAAUCUUCCACAAUGGGCGAAAGCCUGAUGGAGCAACGCCGCGUGUGUGAUGAAGGCUUUCGGGUCGUAAAGCACUGUUGUAUGGGAAGAACAGCUAGAGUAGGGAAUGACUUUAGUUUGACGGUACCAUACCAGAAAGGGACGGCUAAAUACGUGCCAGCAGCCGCGGUAAUC
rnacentral:rRNA from 1 species